rnacentral:rRNA from 1 species
UAACGCGUGAGGGAACCGGCCUUGAAGAGGGGGACAACAAGUUGGAAACGAACUGCUAAUACCGCAUGAAGCAUAGGGGUCGGCAUGAUCUUUAUUGCCAAAGAUUUAUCGCUUCAAGAUGGCCUCGCGUCUGAUUAGCUAGUUGGCGGGGUAACGGCCCACCAAGGCGACGAUCAGUAGCCGGACUGAGAGGUUGAACGGCCACAUUGGGACUGAGACACGGCCCAG